rnacentral:rRNA from 1 species
UGGGGANUCUUCCGCAAUGGACGAAAGUCUGACGGAGCAACGCCGCGUGAGUGAUGACGGCCUUCGGGUUGUAAAGCCCUGUUAAUCGGGACGAAUGGUUCUUGUGCAAAUAGUGCGAGGAUUUGACGGUACCGGAAUAGAAAGCCACGGCUAACUACGUGCCAGCAGCCGCGGUAAUACGUAGGUGGCAAGCGUUGUCCGGAAUUAUUGGGCGUAAAGCGCGCGCAGGCGGAUCAGUCAGUCUGUCUUAAAAGUUCGGGGCUUAACCCCGUGAUGGGAUGGAAACUGCUGAUCUAGAGUAUCGGAGAGGAAAGUGGAAUUCCUAGUGUAGCGGUGAAAUGCGUAGAUAUUAGGAAGAACACCAGUGGCGAAGGCGACUUUCUGGACGAAAACUGACGCUGAGGCGCGAAAGCCAGGGGAGCGAACGGGAUUAGAUACCCCGGUAGUCCUGGCCGUAAACGAUGGGUACUAGGUGUAGGAGGUAUCGACCCCUUCUGUGCCGGAGUUAACGCAAUAAGUACCCCGCCUGGGGAGUACGACCGCAGGGUUG